GCCAUGUUUGUAUGCUUUGACUCCUGCCCCUCCAGCUUCCCGGAGGGGAUACCCCAAAAUGAAGGCCUCAGAAGCAACUGAGACUGACUGAUCCAGGAAUGCCUAUCUGAUCCAAGUAGGCCAAUCAGGUCCUUUGUCUGGGGCUUGGGAAUCUGCAUUCCACUGGCUGGGACUGGCCCCUGAACUGAGAACAGGGAUAGGGAAGCUGGCCCAGAGAGAGGAAGGUGAGUGCAAAUUCACACAGCAAACAAGCGUCAGAGCCAGAGCCUGGGGAUUCUCCUCGCCCGCCCAGAUCUCCUCGGAACCUUCACCUUCCUCUUGGGCCCUGGAAAUGAGGCAUGUGCGCGCCUCCUCCGUGCACCCAGGGCCAGGCGUUGAAGACGGAAGGGGCGAUUCCUGCGGGUGUUCUUCUCGGAGCUGAGCCUCUGCGAUGCCCUGCCAGAUGUAACUCUGGGAGUUGAGAUCCUGUGGUGAACCAGGCAGAUAAGAUCCCUGCUAUCGUGGGACAGGUAGGAUUUUAUAAUUGGAGGGAAUGAAACCCAGAGUAAAGGAGCAAAGUUAUUUUUUUUAAAGACUGAUGAAAUUCCGGAUGUGCUGAAGAACCAGCUGGAAGCUUGUAGUUAGGGGGCUGUUCCAGCAGUAGGGCAGACUCGGGAGUGGGGGUGAGGGCUUGUUUAGAAAGAAGCAGGAAGCCAGAGAAUGCCUCUCAACCCACACCCAUUGUGUGUA
rnacentral:lncRNA from 1 species